rnacentral:misc_RNA from 1 species
GUAGGUGAACCUGCGGAAGGAUCAUUACUGCUACCUCUGCCAUCCCCCGGGAUGCGCAGACACGCCACCCUUGUAUAAUAUAUAUUGUUGCUUUGGCAGGCCGCCUUCGGGCACCGGCUUCGGCUGGAUCGUGCCUGCCAGAGGAUUCCAAACUCUGAAUGUCAAUGUCGUCUGAGUACUAUUUAAUAGUUAAAACUUUCAACAACGGAUCUCUUGGUUCUG